AGAUUCUUUACAGUCGACCUCGAAAUGCGUGCAACUCGGGGUGCUUGUAACUCGGAAUGCGUGAAAAUUUGAUUGUAAAUUGAAUUUUCGGGGUAAAGAAUCGCGUCGAGCCAAUUUUAUCCAUUUCGACCGCCGAGAACAGUUUACUCGACGUGAUUCUUUACCCCCAAUUUUCAAUUUACAAUCGAAUGUUCACGCAUUCUGAGUUGCAAGCACCCCGAGUUACACGCAUUUCGAGAUCGACUGUAAAGAAUCU
rnacentral:pre_miRNA from 1 species